rnacentral:rRNA from 1 species
GUGGAUUAGAUACCCUGGUAGUCCACGCCGUAAACGAUGAUAACUAGCUGUCCGGGGACUUGGUCUUUGGGUGGCGCAGCUAACGCAUUAAGUUAUCCGCCUGGGGAGUACGGCCGCAAGGUUAAAACUCAAAUGAAUUGACGGGGGCCUGCACAAGCGGUGGAGCAUGUGGUUUAAUUCGAAGCAACGCGCAGAACCUUACCAGCGUUUGACAUGUCCGGACGAUUUCCAGAGAUGGAUUUCUUCCCUUCGGGGACUGGAACACAGGUGCUGCACGGCCGUCGUCAACU